GACCCAGAACAAUCAAAUCCAGGCUCAGCAUGUAAGGCUGCUUGUGGCCAAGCCUGGCCACCUGACUUCAGUCCUCCAAACCAGCAUGGUAGAAGGAGAGAACUGACACCUACCAGCUGUCCUCUGAUUCUACACAUGAGGAAUAGCACUUUUGGAAGAAUUGGAGAGUGCUGGAGAGAAAAAAAGAGUUUUCCACAAAAUAGUCAUCAAGAAGAGCAGAAGCAUGAAAAUCUGAGUCAGAAAUGUCCUGCACCUUGCUCUUUGCAGCCUCUGGAAGCACAGUAGCCAACAGCUGGCUGGGUGGACAGUGAAGGCUACACUUCUGUUACACAGCAAUUUCAUGUCAUAAAGGGAUUAAUUGUCCGGUCUCUCUUGCUCUUGAUAGUUAUGGUCAAUGAAUUGAUCUGACACUGGAAAUUAAUGCCUGCCAUAUAUUUUGUGUGAAAUGAUGAUGCUAUUCUCACCAGCUUGUCAAGGCACACUCCUACCUUCACUGAGAAAUCUAUCUUAAGAUUAAUUUUUACAAAAAAAAAUGAAAAAUCCAGAUCUUUUAUCAAUCAACUGUCCUUUUCUUUUGACAAAGAGUUCUGUGCUUUGCUCAGAGUAAACAUAGUUGGUGGUAUUUAUAUAUGGUACCAGAAGGGCAGCUGACUCAGGACAAGCCAAGGAAAUUGAUGGCAAAGCUGUCACACACACAAUAAUCCCUCUAGGUACUUAACAGGUGCGAAAUUUGAAUCUGGCUCAUAGUGUCAAUAAAGUAGACAAGACAGGUAACAGUUGCAUCAUAAGAUAAUCUCAAGUUCAAAGUUGCUUGUCUUUCCUCUCCUUUUUUGUUCUUAUCUUCAAACUGUAGAUAACACCAUCCUUGAACAAUGUUGGAGAUCGCUGAGGUAAUGCAUGUAAAAUGAAAUUGAUUGUUCCAGGAAAAAAAAAACCCUCAC